ACGUACACUCCUGCGGGAGGCAGCAGUGGGGAAUAUUGGACAAUGGGCGCAAGCCUGAUCCAGCCAUGCCGCGUGAGUGAUGAAGGCCCUAGGGUUGUAAAGCUCUUUCACCGGUGAAGAUAAUGACGGUAACCGGAGAAGAAGCCCCGGCUAACUUCGUGCCAGCAGCCGCGGUAAUACGAAGGGGGCUAGCGUUGUUCGGAUUCACUGGGCGUAAAGCGCACGUAGGCGGACUAUUAAGUCAGGGGUGAAAUCCCGGGGCUCAACCCCGGAACUGCCUUUGAUACUGGUAGUCUUGAGUUCGAGAGAGGUGAGUGGAAUUCCGAGUGUAGAGGUGAAAUUCGUAGAUAUUCGGAGGAACACCAGUGGCGAAGGCGGCUCACUGGCUCGAUACUGACGCUGAGGUGCGAAAGCGUGGGGAGCAAACAGGAUUAGAAACCCCGGUAGUCCCA
rnacentral:rRNA from 1 species